rnacentral:lncRNA from 1 species
CUAGAAGGGGAGGCCGACGAGGACUUCAAGAGUCUUUGUUUGUCAGCGGGGCCUCCUCUUUCCUCUGUGGUUCGGUCGGUGGUCGCAGCAUAUCCCAGUGUUGUGGGCAUUGUUGUGUUCAUGGUGGUGUUGCUUCACUAAUGUUUUGCAGGUCAUGCAGUGAUUAUGGAAAUUGGCUAGUUGCAGCUGUCUCGUGUCCGUCUUUUUUUUCAAUUUGGUUUAGAAGCUUUCAUUGGUUUCUCGAUUAGUUGGUUCAGCAAUAUAGAAGUUUGUUCAAUGGGUUUGGAUCAAUUUUCACAGUGUAUGACCUCUAAAUCCUUAUUCUAUAUGUGUUUAUUGUCGGUGAAAGUUAUGAGUUCCAAAAAGAUCACU